GACGAACGCUGGCGGCAUGCCUAAUACAUGCAAGUCGAGCGAACAGAUGAAGUGCUUGCACUUCUGACGUUAGCGGCGAACGGGUGAGUAACACGUAAGGAAUCUACCUAUAAGCGGGGGAUAACAUUCGGAAACGGGUGCUAAUACCGCAUAAUAUCUUCUUCCGCAUGGAAGAAGAUUGAAAGACGGCUCUGCUGUCACUUAUAGAUGACCUUGCGGUGCAUUAGUUAGUUGGUGGGGUAAUGGCCUACCACGACGAUGAUGCAUAGCCGACCUGAGAGGGUGAUCGGCCACAUUGGGACUGAGACACGGCCCAAACUCCUACGGGAGUCAGCAGUAGGGAAUCUUCCGCAAUGGGCGAAAGCCUGACGGAGCAAUGCCGCGUGAGUGAAGAAGGCCUUCGGGUCGUAAAACUCUGUUAUAAGAGAAGAACAAAUUGUAGAGUAACUGCUACAGUCUUGACGGUAUCUUAUCAGAAAGCCACGGCUAACUACGUGCCAGCAGCCGCCGUAA
rnacentral:rRNA from 1 species